AGUGAACGCUGGCGGUAGGCCUAACACAUGCAAGUCGAACGGCAGCACAGUAAGAGCUUGCUCUUACGGGUGGCGAGUGGCGGACGGGUGAGGAAUACAUCGGAAUCUACUUUUUCGUGGGGGUUAACGUAGGGAAACUUACGCUAAUACCGCAUACGACCUACGGGUGAAAGCAGGGGAUCUUCGCACCUUGCGCGAUUGAAUGAGCCGAUGUCGGAUUAGCUAGUUGGCGGGGUAAAGGCCCACCAAGUCGACGAUCCGUAGCUGGUCUGAGAGGAUGAUCGGCCACACUGGAACUGAGACACGGUCCAGACUCCUACGGGAGGCAGCAGUGGGGAAUAUUGGACAAUGGGCGCAAGCCUGAUCCAGCCAUACCGCGUGGGUGAAGAAGGCCUUCGGGUUGUAAAGCCCUUUUGUUGGGAAAGAAAAGCAGCAGGUUAAUACCCCGCUGUUCUGACGGUACCCAAAGAAUAAGCACCGGCUAACUUCGUG
rnacentral:rRNA from 1 species